rnacentral:rRNA from 1 species
AUGGUUGAGCAAACAGUCAAAUCUGAACCUUGUCGCUCUUCUUUCCUCGUGGGAAGGAAGCACACCAGCAGCGUGCGUUGCGUGAUUCCACUGUGUUUUUUGCACUUGACUGGGUGGACAGUUGACCGGAAGAUAACUUCGAUUUGCCCGGCCAGCAGGCGGGUGGCGUGCUUAUCUUGUGUGACAACACUACAGAGCGAGUAG